UUUCUUGACUCUCUUUCUAGUUGUCAUAAUCUAAAUCCUUUUGGUGGUACUGUUUUAUUCAAUUAAAUUUGUUUCUUGCUUUUGUUCUUUGACCUCUAAUUUGGGUGCUGGAAUUUAUUCUUCUUUGGUGCUUAUGUGAAUGGGAACUUGACUUGGUUAAGGUUUAGCCCUUUGAUAGGUGCUGGAAAUUGGAGAAUUAAGACCAUCAUUCU
rnacentral:lncRNA from 1 species